rnacentral:lncRNA from 1 species
CGCAGCAACGCCGCGGCGUCGGGGGCGGGGCCGCUCCCUGCCCUGUUCUGGCCCGCCCACUAGGCGCUGCUGAGCCAAUCGAGUGCCUGAGCGUUGGUCAAAGCAGCCAAUGGGAGAGGCGGGGGCGAUUUAAGAGCUGGCAGCGGGAGGGCGGUGCCUUAGGGCUCGUGCCGUUGCUGGAGGUGAGGCGGGACCGUGGCGGGACCGUGGCGGGACCGUGGCGGGACCGUGGCGGAGAGAGUGGUCUCACCAGCCUGAAGAUGACAACUCUCAUCUUCUUAGAUAAGGAGAAUGGUGAAGUUGGUGCUGCUAAGAAUCAAUUAAGACACCCUUCAGGAUCAUCAAAAGUCUUAUCUGAAAGAACUCAAGUCACUACACCGCUUCCUAAAAAAGCAAUUAAAGCAUCUCCAGCCACAUCACACUCUGUCAGAAAGGCUCUUGGAGACGUGAAUAGGACUGUAGGAGUCACAAACAAGAAAGAAGCAGAUGAGACAGGAAAAUCAGCCUUGCACUGCAAAGAAAGUUACUGAAAAGGCUGCUGGAUUAGAGAGCCAGGAUGUGAUACUUGAAGAACCCUUCCUUGAAAUAGAAAACAUGUUUUGCUAUGAUCCUGGAGACUUUGAGAAUUUUGAUCUUCCUGAAGAGGACAGAGUAAGCGAUAUCGACCUGUGUGGUGCUCCUCUCAAGAUAUUUACAAGCACUGCUGAAAAACCACUGAACAUGUGUCUUUCACCUGUGAAGACUGAAGAGCUGUCAUGGGAGUCUAACUUUCUACAAUCAACUGCUGACUUCAUUUCUACACUGGAUGAGAUCAUUGAUAUGCAUCUAUGAAACUAUGAGCUUCAAAAGCAUAUUCCAAAGUUUCUGUUGAGUGCUAUACUUUAAUUAAACUUUUAAUAAAGGUUGGUUUAAUGUGUGUAAUAUGGGACUUCUCUAUUUUCUGUAGAGCUAAUAUACCAAGGGCAUAAGAUGCAGGUAGUAAAAUACUGCUUUGAAAACAAGGCUAUUUGACAAGAU